UACGGGGGGGGGCAAGCGUUGUUCGGAAUUACUGGGCGUAAAGGGCUCGUAGGCGGCCAACUAAGUCAGACGUGAAAUCCCUCGGCUUAACCGGGGGAACUGCGUCUGAUACUGGAUGGCUUGAGUUCGGGAGAGGGAUGCGGAAUUCCAGGUGUAGCGGUGAAAUGCGUAGAUAUCUGGAGGAACACCGGUGGCGAAGGCGGCAUCCUGGACCGACACUGACACUGAGGAGCGAAAGCCAGGGGAGCAAACGGG
rnacentral:rRNA from 1 species